ensembl:lncRNA
CCUCGCUCCAGACUUUGCUGCUGAUCACCCACAGCCUUUUGGUUCCCCUGUCCGUGUUACAACGCAGCAGGAAGACUCAGAGGACACAUAGUGAGGCACCAAACCCUGUUGAGACCAGCAACUAAGGACUAAAAUGCCUUUUGUUUGGUGGAAGCUGUUCUGGGCCAUGCAAUGAAAAAGUACACCCGUAAGACCUGCACAGAACUUCUCUAAUAGAGAUUGGAUAUCUGAUGAUUAAAAAAAUGGAGAAAAUGACUGCUUGAGAGGUUCCAGGAGGCAGAAGAAAGACAGGAGGCUAAGGAAAAAUAACAUUUUGUCAAGAAAGUCAUGGUAAGAGUGCAAGGAUGAACACCCUAAUUAGGGUGGUGACUAGCCUGGCUAAAAAAGCGGCUUCGGGAGUUACAGGGAAACAAAAGUUGUGGAAACUAUAUUGUGUGAAUUAAGUAUAAAGUAUGAAAAAGUGAGGCAAGAGAGAGGCAAGAACAAACCAGGAACAAGGGGGCAGGACCGUGGUGGCUUUGCAGCUGGUGGUGUCAUCCAACGCUCAGGACCCAGAAUUCCCACAGAGAAGGAGGAUUUAUCCCAUGGGCUGACGUGGCUGACAGAAUGCCCGGGCUGGGGGACAUUCAGAUCCUUCCAGAGGACACAGCAAAGAAAAUCACAGCACACAUCAAGCAGUAGCCACCAGGUGACAUCUAGAGGAAGAGGAAUCUCUUUGAUAGAAAUACUGGUAGAAGGAAAAAGGCCAGGGAACACCCUGCUUCACUGCUCAACGAUGUUGCAACUGUUGGCAAAAGACUUAAAUCUAUUUAAUAUUUUUUUUAUCAGUCUUUGCUGCAACCAGGGCAUGGAAAUGUGGUGUUGAUGGAGGGCGUGGACAUCUUUGAGAGCAAGCUACACAAAAAACUGUGAACACUUUCAGGUGAAAUUUUAGAGACCUGAGAAGAGAUAAGGAAUUAUUUGAGCAGCUUCCCCUCUAUUUUUCUGUUUUUCUGUGACUUCACAUGUACAUAAAUUAUUAUUAUUUCUUAUUAUAUUUUGCAUUCUGUCCUUGUCCUGCUUUGAAUCCCAUACUGUUUUCCUUAUCUAAUUGACACUGAGUUCAGUGCCUGCUGGAUUAUAUCAGAAGUGUUUCUUAGUUCCAAGUGGCAUCGAGAUCUGACAGCCUCUUUUGCCAGAGGACUUUCUUCUUUGAAGUCAUUACAUUCAAUCAACACAGGAGACAUGACAAGGCAGAGAGAAGGAAUUGCAAACAAGAGAAACCAGACUCCACAGAAUCCGUAGCAAAGCUGACAACUGAGCCCAAAUCUCCUGGAUGGCCAGAGUAUCUCACAUGAAUGACUAUCCAAUUAAUCAUGGGGGCAGGAGAGGCUGUCAUGAGCCACUGAUGAGCCUCACAUCAGCAGCUGCCAUCUUCUCUCUUUCUCAAGUGAAGUGAGUAUAGGAGCUAUUGGGCUGAGUCUUAAUUGUGAAAGCCCAGGAAUUACUCCUGAGGCUCCAACAUCCCAAUGAAUGCAAAGUUUUGAUUUCAGCAUCGCAAGCUAAUGAGCCUUUCAAAGCUCCCCUCAGGUUGUCUGGAGCCACUCCCCAGCCACAGACUUAAUUUUCUCUAUACACUCUGAAAAAUGUAGUCUAUUUAAUAUUCUACGCACAAGCUGGCUUGAGGCUACUUGAAGCUAUUGUUUAGGGUUUUUUUCCGGUCUGUUAAUUAUACCUAAAAUUGGCAAACUACCAUUUCUGAUGUAAAGCCACAUGUGAUGUGUCCCUAAGCCAAAUCACAUACGAACCACCACAAGUGGCUACCAAGGCCUUACCCGUGGGGGACAAACAGCCGUGUCUCUCUUCCCAGGAGUGACAGAUCUCUA